CACUCAGCAGCUGUAGCUCAGGAAGAAGCAGCGAUCCACCAGUCAGAGGGUGGUCCAGUUCCUGCCUUCACAGGGUUCCAGGAGUUUACAGUCUGAGUUUCACAUCCAUAUACAGCUUUUGUUACACUGUCUUUUG